AGCGAACGCUGGCGGCGUGCCUAACACAUGCAAGUCGAACGUGAAAGGGAGCAAUCCCAAGUAAAGUGGCGUACGGGUGAGUAACACGUAGGUAAUCUACCCCAGAAUCUGGAAUAACCGGCCGAAAGGCUGGCUAAUACUGGAUAGAGCGACGGAAUCCGUAAUUGGGUUUUUCGGGAAAGGGAGCCUGUAAAAAGGCCUUCGUUCUGGGAUGAGCCUGCGUCCCAUCAGCUAGUUGGUGAGGUAAAAGCUUACCAAGGCAGUGACGGGUAGCUGGUCUGAGAGGACGAUCAGCCACACUGGAACUGAAACACGGUCCAGACUCCUACGGGAGGCAGCAGUGGGGAAUCUUGCGCAAUGGACGAAAGUCUGACGCAGCAACGCCGCGUGAGUGAAGAAGGCCUUCGGGUUGUAAAGCUCUGUCGAGUGGGACGAAAAUGCUUGGAGUUCACAGCUCCAGGAACUGACGGUACCACUAAAGGAAGCACCGGCUAACUCCGUG
rnacentral:rRNA from 1 species